rnacentral:rRNA from 1 species
UACAGAGGGGGCAAGCGUUGUUCGGAAUUACUGGGCGUAAAGAGUUGCGUAGGUGGCAGAGUAAGUAGAUAGUGAAAGCGUGUGGCUCAACCAUACAUCCAUUAUCUAAACUGCUCAGCUAGAAGAUGAGAGAGGUAGAUGGAAUUUCCAGUGUAGGAGUGAAAUCCGUAGAUAUUGGGAGGAACACCGAUGGCGUAGGCAGUCUACUGGCUCAUUCUUGAUACUAAGGCACGAAAGCGUGGGGAGCAAACGGG